AAGGUGAGUAGGCUACAGAAAAAAGCUUCUAACUUUUUAUCUAAGUGGUUAAACUCCAUUUUCUCCUUA
rnacentral:tRNA from 1 species